rnacentral:rRNA from 1 species
AUUGAACGCUGGCGGCAGGCCUAACACAUGCAAGUCGAGCGGAUGAAGGGAGCUUGCUCCUGGAUUCAGCGGCGGACGGGUGAGUAAUGCAUAGGAAUCUGCCUGGUAGUGGGGGAUAACGUCCGGAAACGGGCGCUAAUACAGCAUACGUCCUGAGGGAGAAAGUGGGGGAUCUUCGGACCUCACGCUAUCUGAUGAGCCUAGGUCGGAUUAGCUAGUUGGUGGGGUAAAGGCCUACCAAGGCGACGAUCCGUAACUGGUCUGAGAGGAUGAUCAGCCACACUGGAACUGAGACACGGUCCAGACUCCUACGGGAGGCAGCAGUGGGGAAUAUUGGACAAUGGGCGAAAGCCUGAUCCAGCCAUGCCGCGUGUGUGAAGAAGGUCUUCGGAUUGUAAAGCACUUUUAUUUGGGAAGAAGGGCAGUAAGUUAAUACCUUCCUGUUUUGACGUUACCAACAGAAUAAGCACCGGCUAACUUCGUG